rnacentral:rRNA from 1 species
GAUGAACGCUGGCGGCGUGCCUAAUACAUGCAAGUCGAGCGAACGGACGAGAAGCUUGCUUCUCUGAUGUUAGCGGCGGACGGGUGAGUAACACGUGGAUAACCUACCUAUAAGACUGGGAUAACUUCGGGAAACCGUAGCUAAUACCGGAUAAUAUUUUGAACCGCAUGGUUCAAAAGUGAAAGACGGUCUUGCUGUCACUUAUAGAUGGAUCCGCGCUGCAUUAGCUAGUUGGUAAGGUAACGGCUUACCAAGGCAACGAUGCGUAGCCGACCUGAGAGGGUGAUCGGCCACACUGGAACUGAGACACGGUCCAGACUCCUACGGGAGGCAGCAGUAGGGAAUCUUCCGCAAUGGGCGAAAGCCUGACGGAGCAACGCCGCGUGAGUGAUGAAGGUCUUCGGAUCGUAAAACUCUGUUAUUAGGGAAGAACAUAUGUGUAAGUAACUGUGCACAUCUUGACGGUACCUAAUCAGAAAGCCACGGCUAACUACGUG